AAAUCUUCUGAAACGCCCUCUCAAUUCAAAGAUCCUAUCCGCUAGGAGUACAUGUACUGAUUUACCGACUGUUCUUGAAUCAUAUUGUCCUGCUAAAACAUAUUUUAACCAUUCAAAUAUAUCAGUAUGCCAAAUAAUGCUGGCCUGCGAAGCCAGGCUCUUGAUCAAAAUAUUGUGCACGACUCAAACUUCAAUCACGGCAGUGCUUGUUAAAUUCCCAUGCUAAAGUAAUCUUCAUUCAAAUAAGUAAUAUCUUGACUGAAAUAAAAUCACCAGACAUUCCAAAAAUUCAAUUCGGUAGUAAUAAAUGCUCUGCUAUUAAACCAAUUUAAAGAGGCGAGUGCCAUACACGAACAGUACAGACGUAAGAAACAGCAUAGGCCUUCGAUUCUUGCAAUAUCCAAAUGUCCUCCAACUUUUGCUGAAUUAGCCUAAUAAAAAACCACGAUUAUCAACAAUUGGUAGGGAAAAAAAAAUAUAAUCUGAAUAUUAAAGUAGGAUAAAAAAAAAACUUCCAGAGGACUGAGCAAUCCUUAAUACUUGUCACAUUUUAAGAUUCUCUUGAAUGAAUUAUUGCAGCAUGGAGGGUGGUACAUAAGCAAUCCUUCAUUACUUUCUUGACCAAAACGGGGCUUUUGCAGUAUUGAAGCUCAUGGAAUGCAAACCUCAAAACAGGCAUUUCUCAAUCUUCAUACAAGAGAGCAAAAUGAGUUCAACAUUUGUAAAUUGCUACUUGGAGAGGAUCGAUUGCAGGUUAUUCUAGCAGGCCCAAAUGGUGUAAGGCCGUUAAGCGCCCCGACUUAUCAAGGGGAGCCCGAUGAAGAGUCUCAAUUGAUGAAAAUUAGUGCUAAUUAAUUAGUUAGUGUACUAAUACCCCCGUCAGCAAUCUGCAGAAACACACACACACUCUCUCUACUUAAAGGGGGAUCCACGACCUAAUCCAAAAGGCAUGCUGACUUUCAGGUUACACCAAGGACCUUAAGUAGAACACACGCACCGAAGACCUUAAUUAGUUGGUGUACUAAUACCCAAAAACAAGAUAUUAUUCACCCUUUCCCAUCCUCAACUGCUAGACCCAAGAUUGGACCUCUACACCUAACAACGGGAAGAACUUUAAGAACUCUCUCCUGACCACCAAAAUAACCCUAGUGAUUUUAUUAAAAUACAAGUUUAAUUACUCCUAAAGUAUAUAUAAAUCUCUCAGACUUAAACGGUAGUAGACUUCCUCGUAUAGCUUUUUAUAUGCUAAUAUUUAGGACAUGAUACUAUUUUUUUUUUUUUCUUUUCUAAGUUGUUGUUUUGUUAGGAGGAAGGGGAUGACUUAGAUGAUUUGGAGGGAGGAAUUAUAAGUGUAAGGUCUUGGAUUUAAGACCUUUCACUUAAACUAAAAAAAAAAAAAAGAGUAGGGAUUUACAAUUUUCUCUUUGAGUUUGAGGAAGCCGGGGGGGUUUCGGCUUUUGACCAUCUCCAUCACUGGCUAACAACUAGACGCAGAUGGACGCAUCUUAUCACAGAAUCAUAUUAGCGACUCAAUUAAGUGAAACUCAAAACUGAGAGAAUUCAUAUAUAU
rnacentral:lncRNA from 1 species